CACGUAGGGCGCAAGCGUUGUCCGGAAUUAUUGGGCGUAAAGAGCUCGUAGGCGGUCUGUUGCGUCCGCUGUGAAAACCCGGGGCUUAACCCUGGGCUGGCAGUGGAUACGGACAGACUAAAGGUAGGUAGGGGAGAAUGGAAUUCCCGGUGUAGCGGUGAAAUGCGCAGAUAUCGGGAGGAACACCGGUGGCGAAGGCGGUUCUCUGGGCCUUACCUGACGCUGAGGAGCGAAAGCGUGGGGAGCGAACAGG
rnacentral:rRNA from 1 species